rnacentral:siRNA from 1 species
AGAGUAUCGAAGUUGGUCUCAUU